rnacentral:rRNA from 2 species
GCUGUGAACUCGAAGAGUAGGGCGGGACACGUGGUAUCCUGUCUGAAUAUGGGGGGACCAUCCUCCAAGGCUAAAUACUCCUGACUGACCGAUAGUGAACCAGUACCGUGAGGGAAAGGCGAAAAGAACCCCGGCGAGGGGAGUGAAAAAGAACCUGAAACCGUGUACGUACAAGCAGUGGGAGCACCUUCGGGUGUGACUGCGUACCUUUUGUAUAAUGGGUCAGCGACUUAUAUUCUGUAGCAAGGUUAACCGUAUAGGGGAGCCGCAGGGAAACCGAGUCUUAACUGGGCGUUAAGUUGCAGGGUAUAGACCCGAAACCCGGUGAUCUAGCCAUGGGCAGGUUGAAGGUUGGGUAACACUAACUGGAGGACCGAACCGACUAAUGUUGAAAAAUUAGCGGAUGACUUGUGGCUGGGGGUGAAAGGCCAAUCAAACCGGGAGAUAGCUGGUUCUCCCCGAAAGCU